UCCGGUUUGUCACCGGCAGUCUCCUCAGAGUGCCCAGCUUGACCUGAUGGCAACAGAGAACAAGGGUUGCGCUCGUUGCGGGACUUAACCCAACAUCUCACGACACGAGCUGACGACAGCCAUGCAGCACCUCUGCAGAUGUCCUUGCGGAAGUCGGCUUUCGCCGAUGGUCAUCUACACUUCGAGCCCAGGUAAGGUUCUUCGCGUUGCGUCGAAUUGAACCACAUGCUCCACCGCUUGUGCGGGCCCCCGUCAAUUCCUUUGAGUUUCAUUCUUGCGAACGUACUCCCCAGGUGGGUUACUUAUCACUUUCGCUUAGCCACUCAGUCUUACGACCAAACAGCUAGUAACCAUCGUUUACGGCGUAGACUAC
rnacentral:misc_RNA from 1 species